GCCGAGCACAUGGGCCCGCGGGCCGGGCGGGCUCGGGGCGGCCGGGACGAGGAGGGGCGACGACGAGCUGCGAGCAAAGAUGUGCCCCGGGACCCCCGGCACCUUCCAGUGGAUUUCCUUGCGGAAAGGAUGUUGGCGGUCCCUGUGACCUGUGGAGACACGGCCAGAUCUGCCCUCCAGCCUGAUCUUUUGGCCAGAAGGAGAUUAAAAAGAUGCCCCUCAAGAUGGCUGUGCCUGUCAGCUGCAUGGAGCUUCGUUCAAGUAUUUUCUGAGCCUGAUGGAUUUACAGUGAUCUUCAGUGGUCUGGGGAAUAACGCUGGUGGAACCAUGCACUGGAAUGACACACGCCCGGCACAUUUCAGGAUACUAAAAGUGGUUUUAAGGGAGGCUGUGGCUGAAUGCCUCAUGGAUUCUUACAGCUUGGAUGUCCAUGGGGGACGAAGGACUGCAGCUGGCUGAGAGGGUUGAGAUCUCUGUUUACUUAGAUCUCUGCCAACUUCCUUUGGGUCUCCCUAUGGAAUGUAAGACCCCGACUCUUCCUGGUGAAGCAUCUGAUGCACGUUCCAUCCGGCGCUCAGCUGGGCUUGAGCUGACCAUACUCCCUGGAGCCUUCUCCCGAGGUGCGCGGGUGACCUUGGCACAUACAGCCAUCAUGAUGGUACUUUAAGUGGAGGCUGAAUCAUCUCCCCUUUGAGCUGCUUGGCACGUGGCUCCCUUGGUGUUCCCCUUUUACUGCCAGGACACUGAGAUUUGGAGAGAAUCCUGUUACACCUGGGAUUUAGGCACUUUCAAUCUGAAAAAAUACAUAUCCUUUCAGCACUCUGGACGGACUUGAGAACUGUCCUUACGUGACCUAAAGCUGGAGUAUUUUGAGAUUGGAGAAUUAAGGCCUUCAGUGGGUUGAAUGAGGCCCAACCCACAUUGAAGAGGACCAUCUGCUUUACUCAGUCUCCUGGUUGAAGUGAUAAUCUCAUCUGGACAUACUCAGAAAUGCUGUUUAACCAGCUCUCUGGAAAUCCUGUGGCCCAGUCAAGUUGACACACAAAAUUAACCAUCACACUGCAGAGACACAGUCUAUCCCAAUACCUGUAUUUACUGGAGUGUGGGCACCCUGGCUUCAAGCUCACGAGAAACCAGAAGGAAGUCACUGUGCAUAGCCAUCCCCUAAGAAGAGGGCAUUCCUGCUCUUCCUUCUCCAUGGCUAGAGGAUCUACAUGAACUAUUUAGAUUUUUUCUACCUGGGAGAUUUAACUCCUCUCUCCUAUUUAUUUAUUUAUAUAUCAGCAUGGACUUGCAGGUAUUUAUUUGAUAAUUUUUAAUUUAUUUGAGUUAUAAUCCAAUAAUAUGGUUUUAUUUUGUUGCUCAUGGUUUUUCUUCCUUGGCUAUUGGGAACUCUUCAGUUACUUCCUGUGCCCAUUUGACAUACUUUCUUAUUAUGGGUCUUUCUUUCUUCCUUUUCUUUCCUUCUUUCUUUCUCUCUCUCUCUCUCUCUCUCUUCCUUCCUUCCCUUCCUCCCUCCCUCUUUUCUUUUCUUUUUUCUUUUCUUUCCUUCCUUCCUCCCUCCCUCACUCCCUCCUUCCUUCCUUUUUCUUCCUUUUUUCCUUCCUUCCUUCCCUCCCUUCCUCUUUUCUUUCUUCUUUCUUUCUUUCUUUCCUUCCUUUCUCCUUCCUUCCUUCCUUUUCUUCCUUUCUUUUCCUACCUUCCUUUUCCUUCCUUCCUUUCUUCCUUCCUUUCCUCCUUCCUCUUCUCCUCCUCCCCUUCCUUCCUUCCUUCCUUCCUUCCUUCCCUCCCUCCCUCUCUCUCUCUCUCUCUCUUUUUUUGGUGCAUCCAUACUUUCUGGCACUAUAAGAUGCUUAGGGCUUAUCUUGUAUAUUUCCAGCCCCAGUUAUAGAAUCAGCCAUUUCUUCAAGGAUCCCCUGUCAUUUUACUGGAGAAAGGACUUAGAAUCCAAGAUCUGGGUGCUAGAUGUGCUUGAGGUGUUGUUUCCUCCAGAUCUUCUCAACUGACAGAGCAGUGAAAUAUAUGUGUGUAGGGAGGAUGGGGAGAACAAUUUUUUUAACACAUAUGAAUACUUACCUGGCAGGGGAGAUACCAUGAUCACAAAGGUGGUUUCCCCAGGGUGAGGCUUAUCCAUUGCACUCCCGAUGUGCUGACCCCUGUGAUU
rnacentral:lncRNA from 1 species